CGGACGGGUGAGUAACGCGUGGGGAACCUGCCCUGACAGGGGGAUAACACUUAGAAAUAGGUGCUAAUACCGCAUGAGCGCACAGGACCGCAUGGUCGAGUGUGAAAAACUGAGGUGGUGUAAGAUGGACCCGCGUCUGAUUAGCUAGUUGGUGAGGUAACGGCCCACCAAGGCGACGAUCAGUAGCCGGCCUGAGAGGGUGGACGGCCACAUUGGGACUGAGACACGGCCCAAACUCCUACGGGAGGCAGCAG
rnacentral:rRNA from 1 species